CCACCAUCAGCGUUGCAACGUUUUGCAAUUGAUUCCUCAAGAACUACAGUGAACUCCAUCCAGGACUGUGGCAGACGAACCAAUGAAUAGAGGAUUUUCUCACCAUCAUAUGCAAAGCUUUUACCAGAUAGUUCAUAUAAGGACGUCUGACAAAGCCUAUCAAUUAUUUUUCGCUUUUCAUCAACAACUCUGUUAUCUUCAGCAGUAAUAGAAACACUAUACUGGUAAAACACGACAUCUGUGACAUUGACAGAAACUUUGAAGUGGUUGCCGAGCAAUUGUAUGGGAUGCCCGCUACUUCCAAACCCAGGCCUGCCUAUAAUAGAACGUUUGGUUGGUUUUGGACAGGAUCCACAAGCUUCCUCCAUUGAGAUUGAAGAUAGUGUGUACUUGGCUUCUCUGGUCUUCAGAGGUCACCAAGAGAACGAAGAGAAUGGAUGGAAAGAAGAAUACAGAGCAUGCUGUGCUUAAGGAAUCGC
rnacentral:misc_RNA from 1 species